GGAAUUGAGAGCGUAUGGUAUAUUCUACAUCCUAUAGAAAUUGAUUGAGAAAUUAUAAAAAAACCAUUGAAGAUUUACUUGUAGCCUGAGCUUUAUAUGAGGUGAAAGCCUCUUAUGGUCUCUAUAAUGAUUAUGGGAAAACUUACAGUUGAGGUAUGUGUCUUUCUCUUUUGUAUGUAUUUUUUGUUUGGAAACUAUGAAGCUCAACUUCAUUGUUUCUACUACAUCGAGAUGGUCUUAACAUUGAACCAUGUGAUCCAUAACCAUUCCUUGCUUCCAUCAAGUAGAACUAUCGUGGGUUUUGUACUUAAGAGUAGGCCAUGAAAUAGUUUGUGAACAUGUAAACCAAAUGCAAGCUAUGCUUCCAGAGCUUUUCUGCUCAUUGAGCUACUUGGUGUUACCAUGGGAAGGAUGAAUGGUGUUAACUGUGUUGCUUUGGUCCUGUCUCAGUGGGAACAAUUUAUCCAUGCAUGCGGUAUCGAACAAGCUCCCUCCCUUCUGUUGUCAACCAAUCUAAAAAUGUCGGUCUUAAAACAACACCCUAACCCCUGAAAUACUAUAUAGCCCAUGUGAGCCGGAAAUGAAGUUGGGUUGGGAAAUUUUAGCAAGUUGAAAUAUGACAUGCCUGUGUACUUGUUGGAUUCCAUGGAAUCCAAAGGUUGUGUGAUUCUCUGUAUUAAGUCUGGUUCAUUAUGCUUCUGCUUGGUGCCUGGUUCUCAAAGUUGAAGAAUACCUGGCAUCUUAUUAGUACCAAACCCUGGCUUUUCCACCAUUGAUUUCUUAACGAACAACCCUACUUACUAACAUCUUGAACUUGUAUGAAACAUAACAGGUGGAUGGUUUUUGUAGUUCUACUUUUGG
rnacentral:lncRNA from 1 species